rnacentral:rRNA from 1 species
GAUGAACGCUGGCGGCGUGCUUAACACAUGCAAGUCGAACGAUGAAGCCCAGCUUGCUGGGUGGAUUAGUGGCGAACGGGUGAGUAACACGUGAGUAACCUGCCCUUAACUCUGGGAUAAGCCUGGGAAACUGGGUCCAAUACCGGAUAGGAGCGCCUACCGCAUGGUGGGUGUUGGAAAGAUUUAUCGGUUUUGGAUGGACUCGCGGCCUAUCAGCUUGUUGGUGAGGUAAUGGCUCACCAAGGCGACGACGGGUAGCCGGCCUGAGAGGGUGACCGGCCACACUGGGACUGAGACACGGCCCAGACUCCUACGGGAGGCAGCAGUGGGGAAUAUUGCACAAUGGGCGCAAGCCUGAUGCAGCGACGCCGCGUGAGGGAUGACGGCCUUCGGGUUGUAAACCUCUUUCAGUAGGGAAGAAGCGAAAGUGACGGUACCUGCAGAAGAAGCACCGGCUAACUACGUGCCAGCAGCCGCGGUAAUACGUAGGGUGCGAGCGUUAUCCGGAAUUAUUGGGCGUAAAGAGCUCGUAGGCGGUUUGUCGCGUCUGUCGUGAAAGUCCGGGGCUUAACCCCGGAUCUGCGGUGGGUACGGGCAGACUAGAGUGCAGUAGGGGAGACUGGAAUUCCUGGUGUAGCGGUGGAAUGCGCAGAUAUCAGGAGGAACACCGAUGGCGAAGGCAGGUCUCUGGGCUGUAACUGACGCUGAGGAGCGAAAGCAUGGGGAGCGAACAGG